UUGUGGAGGAGGACGCCGAAGGUGGGGCUAAUGACUGGGGUGAAGUCGUAACAAGGUAGCCGUACCGGAAGGUGCGGCUGGAUCACCUCCUAACAGGGAGACAACAAAAUGUUUAAUAUUAUUUUGUCACCUUAGGUCGAUCGGUAUCUCACUUCUUAAUUUAAUUAAGAAUUUUAUUUCCUAAGUUUUUCUAGGUCACACCCAUUAUUUUUCCUGGGCCAUUAGCUCAGGUGGUUAGAGCGCACCCCUGAUAAGGGUGAGGUCCCUGGUUCAAGUCCAGGAUGGCCCAUAUCUCUAUGUUGGGGGUAUAGCUCAGUUGGUAGAGCGCCUGCUUUGCAAGCAGGAUGUCAGCGGUUCGAGUCCGCUUACCUCCACUGAUUACCACCUCUUCCAUAAUCUGAAGAAAGGAAAAGUUUUGAGUUGUGAUCAUAUUUCUGAACGAAUCUAGCAUCCUAAUGAAAUGAUUAAGAUGCUGGACUCAUUGAAUUAAAUUCAUUGUUUUCAGAGAACCUUGACAACUGCAUAGAUUAUUUUUAAAGACAAUAAGCAUCUUUUAAUGAUGCAGAUUUAUUAUUUGUGCAAAUGCAUUAAUAACAAUUCUAUUAAGCUGAUGCUUCAAUUUUUGAAGUUAUUGGUCAAGCUACAA
rnacentral:misc_RNA from 1 species